rnacentral:rRNA from 1 species
AGUGAGGAAUAUUGGACAAUGGGCGCAAGCCUGAUCCAGCCAUGCCGCGUGCAGGAUGACGGUCCUAUGGAUUGUAAACUGCUUUUGUACGAGAAGAAACACUACUUCGUGAAGUAGCUUGACGGUAUCGUAAGAAUAAGGAUCGGCUAACUCCGUGCCAGCAGCCGCGGUAAUACGGAGGAUCCAAGCGUUAUCCGGAAUCAUUGGGUUUAAAGGGUCCGUAGGCGGUCAUGUAAGUCAGUGGUGAAAGCCCAUCGCUCAACGGUGGAACGGCCAUUGAUACUGCUUGACUUGAAUUAUUAGGAAGUAACUAGAAUAUGUAGUGUAGCGGUGAAAUGCUUAGAGAUUACAUGGAAUACCAAUUGCGAAGGCAGGUUACUACUAAUGGAUUGACGCUGAUGGACGAAAGCGUGGGUAGCGAACAGGAUUAGAUACCCUGGUAGUCCACGCCGUAACGAUGGAUACUAGCUGUUGGGAGCAAUCUCAGUGGCUAAGCGAAAGUGAUAAGUAUCCCACCUGGGGAGUACGAACGCAAGUUUGAAACUCAAAGGAAU